UACGGGGGGGGCAAGCGUUGUUCGGAAUUACUGGGCGUAAAGGGCUCGUAGGUGGCCCCAUAAGUCAGACGUGAAAUCCCUCGGCUCAACCGAGGAACUGCGUCUGAGACUGCGGGGCUUGAAUCCGGGAGAGGGAUGCGGAAUUCCAGGUGUAGCGGUGAAAUGCGUAGAUAUCUGGAGGAACACCGGUGGCGAAGGCGGCAUCCUGGACCGGUAUUGACACUGAGGAGCGAAAGCUAGGGUAGCAAACGGG
rnacentral:rRNA from 1 species